GCAUUAAUGGGGUAGUGGUAACCUGGGUCGUUGCCAUAAGUUCUUUCGAACGCUUUCGUUUCGACCCGCCGGGGGUUCGAUUCCCCCUUAAUGCA